GCGCGAAACUUUGCAAUGCGGGAAACCGUGACAAGGGAACUCUGAGUGCCCGUUAAAUCGGGCUGUCCAUCGGUUUAAAUAACCGGUGAAGAAAGGGCCGGGCAAGACCGGUGCCAGCCGCCGCGGUAAUACCAGCGGCUCGAGUGGUGGCCACUAUUACUGGGCUUAAAGCGUUCGUAGCUGGUUUGUUAAGUCUCUGGGGAAAUCUUCCGGCUUAACCGGAAGGCGUUUCAGGGAUACUGGCAGACUAGGGACCGGGAGAGGUGAGAGGUACUCCAGGGGUAGGAGUGAAAUCCUGUAAUCCUUGGGGGACCACCUGUGGCGAAGGCGUCUCACCAGAACGGCUCCGACAGUGAGGGACGAAAGCUGGGGGAGCAAACCGGAUUAGAGACCCGUGUA
rnacentral:rRNA from 1 species